rnacentral:other from 1 species
GCGGGGCUGCCAGGUGCGCCAGGCAAUUCAUCCCCGGGGCCAAUGCACAUCCUCCGGGAACUGGCUCUGUCCGGACCGUGGUUCGGGUAUCUGGUGCCCACCUGCUAACGCAGGCCUUGGGAGGAUGAUACGCCAGCGGCCAUGGUGGCUCCGCA